rnacentral:rRNA from 1 species
GAACGCUGGCGGCGUGCUUAACACAUGCAAGUCGAGCGAAGCACUUAACUUUGAUUCUUUCGGGAUGAAGAGUUCUGUGACUGAGCGGCGGACGGGUGAGUAACGCGUGGGUAACCUGCCUCAUACAGGGGGAUAACAGUUAGAAAUGGCUGCUAAUACCGCAUAAGACCACAGCACCGCAUGGUGCAGGGGUAAAAACUCCGGUGGUAUGAGAUGGACCCGCGUCUGAUUAGCUAGUUGGUGGGGUAACGGCCUACCAAGGCGACGAUCAGUAGCCGACCUGAGAGGGUGACCGGCCACAUUGGGACUGAGACACGGCCCAAACUCCUACGGGAGGCAGCAGUGGGGAAUAUUGCACAAUGGGGGAAACCCUGAUGCAGCGACGCCGCGUGAGUGAUGAAGUAUUUCGGUAUGUAAAACUCUAUCAGCAGGGAAGAUAAUGACGAUACCUGACUAAGAAGCACCGGCUAAAUACGUG